rnacentral:misc_RNA from 1 species
AACAUCGCGCACCUGCGGGAACCUGCGGAGGGAUCAUUACAGAGGAGCCCGCGCGUCCGCGCACGGGCUCCACGAGAUAGAACCCCUGUCUUUGUUUACCACCGUUUCCUCGGCGGGUCCGCCCGCCAGCGAGGACAACCCAAAACCUUUUGUAGUUAGCAGUAACCGUCUGAAAACAAAUCGUUUAAAACUUUUAACAAUGGAUCU